rnacentral:rRNA from 1 species
GAUGAACGCUGGCGGCGUGCCUAAUACAUGCAAGUCGAGCGAACGGACGAGAAGCUUGCUUCUCUGAUGUUAGCGGCGGACGGGUGAGUCACACGUGGAUAACCUACCUAUAAGACUGGGAUAACUUCUGGAAACCGGAGCUAAUACCGGAUAAUAUUUUGAACCGCAUGGUUCAAAAGUGAAAGACGGUCUUGCUGUCACUUAUACAUGGAUCCGCGCUGCAUUAGCUAGUUGGUAAGGUAACGGCUUACCAAGGCAACGAUGCAUAGCCGACCUGAGAGGGUGAUCGGCCACACUGGAAGUGAGACACGGGCCAGACUACUAGGGGAGUCAGCAGUAGGGGAUCUUCCGCAAUGAGCGAAGGCCUGACGGAGCAACGCCGCGUGGGUGAUGAAGGUCUUCGGAUCGUAAAACUCUGUUAUUAGGGAAGAACAUAUGUGUAAGUAACUGUGCACAUCUUGACGGUACCUAAUCAGAAAGCCACGGCUAACUACGUG